GCUUUCUCCACCCCACACAUAGAGAGAGUGGUUAUUUUCCUACUUCCAGAAGCGUCAACAAGGCAGUUAAUCACCAUAUCAAUGGUGAUAGCGUAACUUUGUUGGUGAGGGUAGCAUUUCUAGAGAUUUCUGAAAAUCAGUCAUAAUUUCCAAGUGCUGCGUUUCAUUACACUUUUCCUCACCCUGCUACAUCCAGGGCUUUGUUUCCAGGGUGGGCUGGAAUGCUUUAAAACAAGCACUCGUCUGUACUAUUAUUCCUUCCUUCCUCUUUGGAGCUGUGAAAGGCCACCAGGGCCUGUCUCCAGGACUCUCCCUAUAAAGGAUGUUUUCUUUAUGCAGACAAAGGCCACGGGGAAAUUAAGGAUAAAUCAGAAAAAUUUCAUCAGUUUAGUCUAAAAUCAAGAGUAAUUCUGGUUGCUUCAGCUUUCCUCACCAUCAAAAAUGGCUGCACAAAAGGAAGUUCAUCUGGAUCUAAAUGCCAAAGGCUUGACUGUCAGCUGGAGCAGGCUGCCCUUCAGUGGUGCUCCUCCUCCUUACUGGAAAGUUGUCUCAGCAUACACAGCAAUGAGCACAGCUCUGUUCCUUGCUUCCCAUGCAAGCAGGCUCUAUCUUCAUGAGAACAAAUAUCAGGAGUUCUGUCCACCCUCUUUUCUUCAAUUCCAGCCUGCUUCCAAGUUGUUUCUUUAGGAAUCAUAAAGAACUGAGCAGACAAAAUGCCUUCUUUAUGUGCUGAGCUCCUUCAAAUCUCUGUUCCCUGAAAGCUUAGAAAGACGGUGAGCACCUGAAGCUUGUUCUACAACAUCUACAGGGUUCUUGGAGACUUCAGUGAAACACAGUUCUCAGUCUUACUGCCUGUCCAAGUAAGCAUGGAGGAAAUGCUUCCAAUAUUCCAGGGUUGGUGCCUGAGCUAAAGAGAUAACUGAAGCUGCCAGUCCUGCACGCAGAAAGACACAUGGCCAGGGUCCAGCUGGUUGGUUCAUCUGAAGGAGUCCGAGCUCACCUGAGGAUGGGAGGACACACAGGAAAGAGCACAGGUGUUAGAAGGUACCCUGAAAGAGCGAGGAAACAAAUUAAGAAGGAUGAUGAUGACGUUGACGAUGAUGAUUUAUUUAUGAAGAGAAAGACCCUGCCUUUUGACUUUCUUAUUGACAACUUGUUUUGUAUCUAUAUGCUCAGAACUAACCUGACCAAAAGGAUGAGAUGUGAAUUUAUUGUUCUGUCUUCCAGGUUGGGUUGAUAGGGACAACUAGAGGUUCUUUUUUAGUCCUUUCUUCUUUCUUACAGAAGCAAUUAACUUACUAUAAUUAUCAGUAUAUUAACAUCUAUCAAAUUUCCUGCUAUCAUAUGGAACUACAAUAGUUAUCUCUCCUCUCC
ensembl:lncRNA